rnacentral:rRNA from 1 species
AAUCAACGCUGGCGGCGUGCCUAACACAUGCAAGUCGAACGCGGUUACCCCGCAAGGGGUAACUGAGUGGCGAACGGGUGAGUAACACGUGGGUGACCUACCUUCGAAUGGGGGAUAACGUCCCGAAAGGGACGCUAAUACCGCAUAACAUCCUGCCUUUGAACAGGCGGUGAUCAAAGCCGGGGAUCGCAAGACCUGGCGUUUGAAGAGGGGCCCGCGUCCGAUUAGCUAGUUGGUGAGGUAACGGCUCACCAAGGCGACGAUCGGUAACCGGCCUGAGAGGGCGGACGGUCACACUGGGACUGAGACACGGCCCAGACUCCUACGGGAGGCAGCAGUGGGGAAUUGUUCACAAUGGGCGCAAGCCUGAUGACGCAACGCCGCGUGGAGGAUGAAGGUCUUCGGAUUGUAAACUCCUGUUGCCCGGGACGAAAAGCUUCGACCUAACACGUCGAAGUCUGACGGUACCGGGUGAGGGAAGCCCCGGC